rnacentral:rRNA from 1 species
UAAUACGGAGGGUGCAAGCGUUAUCCGGAUUCACUGGGUUUAAAGGGUGCGUAGGUGGGUCUGUAAGUCAGUGGUGAAAUCUCCGAGCUUAACUCGGAAACUGCCGUUGAUACUAUAGGUCUUGAAUCAUCUGGAGGUAAGCGGAAUAUGUCAUGUAGCGGUGAAAUGCUUAGAUAUGACAUAGAACACCAAUUGCGAAGGCAGCUUACUACGGAUGCAUUGACACUGAGGCACGAAAGCGUGGGGAUCAAACAGGAUUAGAUACCCUGGUAGUCCACGCCCUAAACGAUGGAUACUCGACAUUUGCGAUAUACUGUAAGUGUCUGAGCGAAAGCAUUAAGUAUCCCACCUGGGAAGUACGACCGCAAGGUUGAAACUCAAAUGAAUUGACGG